rnacentral:rRNA from 1 species
AGAACUAACAAGGAUUCCUUUAGUAAUGGCGAAUGAACAAGGAAAAGCUCAAAUUUAAAAUCAUAAUUUUUUAAAUUAUGAAUUGUAAUUUAAAGGUAAUUAAUUAUAGUAAUAAAACUAGUUAAAGUUGGCUGGAAAGCUACUACAGAGAGGGUGAUAUACCCGUAACUGAUUAGAUUUUAUUAUUAAAAUAUUUUUUACCAAAGAGUCAGGUUGCUUGGGACUGCAGCCUAAAAUGGGAGGUAAAUUUCUUCUAAAGCUAAAUAUUGGUAAGAGACCGAUAGCGAACAAGUACCGUGAGGGAAAGAUGAAAUAGAACCUUGAAAAGGGGUUUAAAAGGAAGUGAAAUUGUUAAAAGGGAAACGCUUAAAAGGGGUAAAUAAUAUUAUUAAAAAGGAUUUAUUUAUAAAUCUUAAUUAAUAAUAUUUAUGGUUAAUAGUAAUUUUUAAUAAUAUAAAAGAUUAUUAUAAAGGUAUGUUGAGUUCGCUUAACAACUUAUAGUAUAGUAAUUUAAUAUUUUUAGAGAUUAUUUUUAUUAAAAUUAUUUAAUGAUGUUAAAUUGAGUGAAAUUAAUUAAAUGGUUUACCUUUUAAUUUUUGGCUACAAAGAUUUAAUUUUAUUGAAGAAGUUUUUUUAUUAGACCAUGACUUUUUUAAGCGACCCGUCUUGAAACACGGACCAAGGAGUCUAACAUUUAUGGCGAGUAAAUAGGAUUUAAAUAUACCUAUAUGCGAAAUGAAAGUGAAUUCAAGGUAAGACCUUAAAUUUAAUUUUUGGGCACUAUCAACCGAUCUAUCUAGUUUUUAUUAGUAGAAUUGAGUAAGAGCCUAAAUGUUGGGACCCGAAAGAUGGUGAACUAUGCCUGAAUAGGGUGAAGCCAGAGGAAACUCUGGUGGAGGCUCGUAGCGAUUCUGACGUGCAAAUCGAUCGUCAAAUUUGGGUAUAGGGGCGAAAGACUAAUCGA